UGAUAAUUUCCUUGGCGUCAGGAAAUUUAUCCCACCCGAGGAGUAAUGCUGUUGGCUGCUGUAAUUCCAUUAUUACGGUUUUUCAUCAUGAACAUUUCAAUGUGCUUCUUAGAAAAAAUCAUGCAAGAUCCCCACGGACAUCCUUGAGCAAUUGAAUGCUGGAUUUUGCCCAUGACAGAAGAAGGACUUCCACCAAUGUUCUGCUCCAUCCUUAUUUUCAAGACAUACGCUCAUCCAGCUUCACUGCUUCAGUGCUUCUUUGCUGCUUCACUGGAGAGUUAGUUCACUUCAGUUGCUGUGACACACCUGCAGUCACUCACAACGGGAUUAUGACCAGGUAAUGCAGAAAAGACGUCGAUAAGAUGGACAUCAAAACAUCUCCGUUAUCUCCAAAAUGUCAGCGCGGAUCAUCAUUUGUUGUUGGUAAUAUUUGUGUUUGUGUUAGUUAACCCGUUGUCUGCCACGCCUUUGUUCUCCCCUUGCUCCUUUGCACGGGUCGCGCUGGUCGGCCUCGUGGUUUACAAGCCGUGGGGUCGGAAUGUCGCCAAGCCCAAAAUUUGCCGCAAGGCAAGCCUAUUAGGCAAUGCACAAUAGUUCCCCCUUGUCGAUGCGGUGACUUGUCAGCAAUGACAAGCCCCACCUUGGUCAUGGAUCCUUCAGACAUGGCGCGUAGAGAGUAGAGAACAACCUACGGG